GGUUGCCUGAAGAUCAAGAGUAUUGGAUACCCCUAACCACCAAAGAAUGAAACAUGACUGAAACC
rnacentral:sRNA from 1 species